CUUAAAGAAAUAUUAGAAUGUUUACAAAUAUUAUUCAAAUAUAUGUCAAUUCGACCUUAAUUUAAUUCUAGUUAAAAUCCUAUUCAAUUACACUCAAACUUUAGACCAAACCUAAUUAAAUCUUAAACCCUAAUAAUUCCUAAACCCUAAGUCAAAUCCUAAACAAACCUUAAAUUAAAUCCUAUUUCAAAUCCUAAAUCUUAAACCAAACCCUAAAUCAAACCCUAAACCAAACCUUAAUCCAACCCUAAAUUCUAAUCCAAACCCUAAAUUCUAAACCAAACUUUAAAUCAAAUCCUAACCAAAUCCUAAUCCAAACCCUAAAUCAAA
rnacentral:lncRNA from 1 species